rnacentral:rRNA from 1 species
GCAGCCGCGGUAAUUCCAGCUCCAAUAGCGUAUAUUAAAGUUGUUGUGGUUAAAAAGCUCGUAGUUGGAUCUCAACAGCCUUGAAGCGGUUAACUUUGUAGUUUUACUGCUUUAUAGGCUGUGCUUUUGCUGGAGGUUUAGGGGUGCUCUUGAUCGAGUGUCUCUGGAUGCCAGCAGGUUUACUUUGAAAAAAUUAGAGUGCUCAAAGCAGGCUAAAAUGCCUGAAUAUUCGUGCAUGGAAUAUUAGAAUAGGAUGUCGAUCCUAUUUUGUUGGUUUUCGGGACUCGACAUAAUGAUAAAUAGGGACAGUCGGGGGCAUUUGUAUUCAAACGACAGAGGUGAAAUUCUUGGACCGUUUGAAGACAAACUACUGCGAAAGCAUUUGCCAAGAAUGUUUUCAUUAAUCAAGAACGAAAGUUAGAGGUUCGAAGGCGAUUAGAUACCGCCCUAGUUCUAACCAUAAACGAUGCCAGCUAGCGAUCUGCCUGCGUUUUUACUGUAGACUGGGCAGGAAGCUUCCGGGAAACCAAAGCAUUUGGGUUCCAGGGGAAGUAUGGUUGCAAAGCUGAAACUUAAAGGAAUUGACGGAAGGGCACCACCAGGAGUGGAGCCUGUGGCUUAAUUUGACUCAACACGGGAAAUCUCACCAGGCCCGGACACUGGAAGGAUUGACAGAUUGAUAGCUCUUUCUUGAUUCGGUGGGUGGUGGUGCAUGGCCGUUCUUAGUUGGUGGAGUGAUUUGUCUGGUUAAUUCCGAUAACGAACGAGACUCUGUCCUGCUAAAUAGUUUCUACUUCUCUUUUGAGUAGAAAUUUCUUCUUAGAGGGACUGGUGACUCUUAGUCACACGAGAUUGAGCAAUAACAGGUCUGUGAU